rnacentral:rRNA from 1 species
UACAGAGGGGGCAAGCGUUGUCCGGAUUUAUUGGGCGUAAAGAGCGUGUAGGCGGCCAGGUAGGUCUGCUGUGAAAACUCGAGGCUUAACCUCGAGCUGUCGGCGGAAACCAUCUGGCUAGAGUCCGGAAGAGGAGAAUGGAAUUCCCGGUGUAGCGGUGAAAUGCGCAGAUAUCGGGAAGAACACCCGUGGCGAAAGCGGCUCUCUGGACCACAACUGACGCUGAGGCGCGAAAGCUAGGGGAGCAAACAGG